rnacentral:rRNA from 1 species
UACGAAGGGGGCUAGCGUUACUCGGAUUGACUGGGCGUAAAGGGCGCGUAGGCGGUUUGUACAGUCAGACGUGAAAUUCCUGGGCUCAACCUGGGACUGCCUUUGUGACUGCAUAGCUAGAGUACGGUAGAGGGGAUGGAAUUCCGCGUGUAGCAGUGAAAUGCGUAGAUAUGCGGAGGAACACCGAUGGCGAAGGCAAUCCCCUGGACCUGUACUGACGCUCAUGCACGAAAGCGUGGGGAGCAAACAGG